rnacentral:misc_RNA from 1 species
AAAAAGGCCGAGGCAAUGGCAACAGGGAUUGCUGAGUUACUAGGUGAAUCACUUGCAAAUGCUCGUUGGAAACCAGAGUCGAGGAAUGGGAAACAACAAAAAGUGGUAAAGAAAGACCAAGGAGAAACCAAGGAACAGCUUUGUCUCAACACCAGCAGCCACAGAAGAUUGCAGCAUGAUACUGCUGGUUUAGCGCUUCGUGUCCCAUAGACUA